rfam:TPA: Bos taurus chromosome 18, whole genome shotgun sequence.
UCCCUGGUGGUCCAAUGGUUAACACGCCAAGCUUCCAAUUCAGGGGAUGCAGGUUUGAUUCCUGCUCAGGGAG